AAGUCGUAACAAGGUUUCCGUAGGUGAACCUGCGGAAGGAUCAUUAACACUGUGAACCUUCAUUGUAUGAGUUACAUCCACGUCAUAAACCGGCAAUCUCUGGUAAAUCAUCGCCGAACAGUUUUGAUUCAGAGACCUCUGGGAAGGGUGUACGGUAGUGCGAGGCAAUUGACCUGGCAUUCCUCUGCUUGUUAGUGUCUGAAAGUGUCACUAGCUAUGUACGGAUGGCGCAGUAACGAUCGCUGGAGGCCGACACGGCCGGCGACCAGGUCACUGGGCUACGGCCCCCCUGAUCACAACCUUUGCAUGAAAACGGGCCUGCGCUGAGGUGCGGCCACCCCUAAUGCUUGAACAACUGUUAACAAUGGAUAUCUUGGUUCUC
rnacentral:misc_RNA from 1 species